AUGGCAGACUGUCCGUUUGCCCCUUUCAGUUCUCGCUCUGGUUUAAAAUAAGAAAAAAAAAAAAAAAAUGUACAUUCGAUCAGACCUUAUAUUUGAUACUCGGAGCGCUCAUCAAAGUCAAGAAGAAUAUUUUGUAUAUCCACGAGCUAUACUUUUAUAAACGAGAGAAGUAUCUUCGCUGCCGAAAUUUCGUUCGCAUCCAUCCAAUUCGUGAGUUAAGUGCCGUCUCCAUCCCGAUAAGCCAGAAGGUUAGAAUGCGAGAUUCACUCUGGUUUAGUCGUUCUGUCCAUCUUCUUUGCUACAGUAUUCCGGCGGUCCUGGGAGGAUGUUCGUCCGACCGGGACUGCCGCGCAGAUCGUUUGCCAAAAUAUAUAGGAUGUUGUCUUCAUAAAGCCCUUUCCGGUUCCACCAAAAACCGGAAAAGUUCUUUAUGCAACUCCACGCUUUUGGUUUUUACAGCUUUCCUUUCUCGGUGGCGUCGUACGCCGUCUUGGUUGUCGGCUUCGUUGCUCUCUUUGUACACCAGUUAUACAAAAAAAAAAAAAUAAAUAAAUAAAAAUCCGAUCGGGAGUGCCAACACUUUUACAUCCGUGUA
rnacentral:lncRNA from 1 species